GACGAACGCUGGCGGCGUGCCUAACACAUGCAAGUCGAGCGGGAACCUCAGGAGGGGUAACCCUCCUGAGGGGAGAGCGGCGAACGGGUGAGUAACACGUGGGCAACCUGCCCCGGACACCGGGAUAACCCAGGGAAACCUGAGCUAAUACCGGAUACUCCGGCGAGAACGCAUGGUCGCGCCUGGAAGGCUCCGACGGUCCGGGAUGGGCCCGCGGCCUAUCAGCUUGUUGGUGGGGUAACGGCCCACCAAGGCGACGACGGGUAGCUGGUCUGAGAGGACGGCCAGCCACACUGGGACUGAGACACGGCCCAGACUCCUACGGGAGGCAGCAGUGGGGAUCUUGCGCUAAUGCGCGAAAGCGUGACGCAGCGACGCAGCGUGGGGGAUGAAGGCCCUCGGGUUGUAAACCCCUUUCGGCAGGGACGAAGCGAAAGUGACGGUACCUGCAGAAGAAGUCCCGGCUAACUACGUGCCAGCAGCCGCCGUAACAC
rnacentral:rRNA from 1 species